GGAUAAUAUUUUGUAUUAAUAUAUUUGUUUAUUUAAUAUCAAACACCUAGGAUUAUUCUUGAGUUAAUUUAAAUUUGAAUCUUUUUUGUUAAAUCAGACUCAAUCUGAAUCCUUUGCUGGAUAAACAGGGAGCAUGCGGCCCUUGCGCGUAGAUUGGUUGCCUCAUACUAUGACGUAAUAGGUACAUUAUGUUGAUUGGUCAGUUUACUCAAAACGCCUUUGGCUUCGACGCUCAUUGGCCCAACUUUCGCGUGCCUCCAACCGCCUUUUUAUAAGAAGUUUGUACGUUUUUAGAUUUAACUUUUCCGGUGGUUUUCGCGUGGAUUUUCGUCAACUUCGUGAACAACUACUGUCGUCCGAUUUGUGACCAGACGCAUGAUCCAAGCGCAUGCGUACAGUCCAAGCGUAGGUCCACCGUCCAAGCGUGGAUUAAGCCAACAUGGGGAAAAGAAAGGGACGCCCAGGAAGGCUGAUCGCCAGAAAAAGACCCCGGAGGAGUGUUGAGGAAAUAUUUUUCGUCGAGGACGUUCUAGAGUUUAACGAGGCCACGGAUAUGUAUCGGGUGAAAUGGCAAGGCACUCCGUCCGGAUGGUUCCGAGGCUGCCACCGUGUCGGAGACCGGUAGCCUCGCAGGGGGCCACCAGUCCGGCGCGCAGUCGGACGCCCAGUCUGACGCCCAGUCCGACGAUCUGUCUGACGCCCAGCCCGACGAUCAGUCUGGCGCCCAGUCCGUCGUCCUCACGAGGAUGAUGACGCUGCCAGGACCGGUGGCUAUGCCGACGUCUCGUCCGGAUGGUUCCGAGGCUGCCAUCGUGUCGGAGACCGGUAGCCUCGCAGGGGGCCACCAGUCCGGCGCGCAGUCGGACGCCCAGUCGGACGCCCAGUCCGACGAUCUGUCUGACGCCCAGCCCGACGAUCAGUCUGGCGCCCAGUCCGUCGUCCUCACGAGGAUGAUGACGCUGCCAGGACCGGUGGCUAUGCCGACGUCUCGUGAGUCUCCCCUUCCCCUCCUUUUCUCUCUCUCCCUCUACCUUCUUUCUGUUUUGGUCGUUUUCCUGUUUCUCCAACACGCCCUCCUACCUCAUGUUACUCCGCUCACAAUAAUUCUGUUCUGUCGCCAACAUUUUUUUUUAUAUAAAUUUAGCUCGAAUGUUUGAAUGGACAGAUUGACAGAGCCGGAGCCCACGCUAAGCAGAGCUUGUUGCGUAGACCCCGACCCCUACCGUCCGAUCGUGCAAUUCCGGGUAACGGGAGGAUUUAGAUGCCAAAGUUUAACGUGCCCUUCAAAGCCGGACACGGCCUGUCCCACUCAACUGACUUCAACUGGCUGCGGCUGCUCCCACCAACCGCAGACCAUCCCCGUCAGGAGUCUCAAAUAUCGAGCGCCGGAGCGUCUCGAACCCGGGCUCUCACUACCGGGAGUCCAAUGCUCUACCAACUGAGCUACGGGACAUUUUCAGCUCUUCUUAAUGUCCCGGCCCGGACGAGCAUAACAUUGCUAUCUUUUUAUGAUUAAUACAAUGGUGUAGCACACAUUUCCAACUGUUGCGUACGUCCAUGAACAUUAAAUGCGUUUCCGGUGCUCCGUACCCCAUAUUUUGUUCCUGUCUCUAUAUUGUAUUUUUCCGAGUGUUUCGAACAGGCUUACGUGUUGAAUGGUUCGGUCGGCUCGUGGUCCCUUGUUACAAGUGAUUUUGUGCGCGGACAGGUCCGGAUGGUUCCGAGGCUGCCACCGUGUCGGAGACCGGUAGCCUCGCAGGGGGCCACCAGUCCGGCGCGCAGUCGGACGCCCAGUCGGACGCCCAGUCCGACGAUCUGUCUGACGCCCAGCCCGACGAUCAGUCUGGCGCCCAGUCCGUCGUCCUCACGAGGAUGAUGACGCUGCUAGGACCGGUGGCUAUGCCGACGUCUCGUCCGGAUGGUUCCGAGGCUGCCACCGUGUCGGAGACCGGUAGCCUCGCAGGGGGCCACCAGUCCGGCGCGCAGUCGGACGCCCAGUCUGACGCCCAGUCCGACGAUCUGUCUGACGCCCAGCCCGACGAUCAGUCUGGCGCCCAGUCCGUCGUCCUCACGAGGAUGAUGACGCUGCCAGGACCGGUGGCUAUGCCGACGUCUCGAGGUCGCCAACCGAAGCCGUCAGCUAUGGUGAAGCCCGUUUAUCGCAAACCUGAACAAGCUGUGGCUCGUCCGGCUCGUCAGCUAUCGCUGAAGAGCCGGACCUAAAACAGCGGACUUGGAAGGAUGUAAAGUACCAGGUCCACAAUAUGAUUACGACCCGCCAGAGACGGGCGCUCAGAUAGGUGAAAAGGGCUUCACCAGUCCGGCGCCCAGUCCGGUGCCCGGUCCGGCGCCCAGUCCGGCGCCCAGUUCGGCGCCCAGUUCGGCGCCCAGUCCGGCCUUCACCGUUUUUGUGGCAAAUACAGCAUCUGUCCUUUUU
rnacentral:misc_RNA from 1 species